rnacentral:lncRNA from 1 species
GAGAAUACCUGUCGUCACAUUCCUGACUACAGCUUGGCUAACACCAGAGUAUGUUGAGAUACUCCCUUACGAAAAGUGCUACAAUAUAUCAGCAGAUAAUAAGGACAUGGAAGAGAACAGCAAAAUUGUAUUGAAUUCCAAGCUGUGUACAACUUCUUAUGAAGAGCCAUUUCUGCCACAGCUAUUAGGAAAAGAUGUGACAAGCCCUUCAGCAGUUAGAGAUCAACAAAAAAAACUCCUUCAAACCUGCAGCAUGGAAAUUCAGAUAAGGACAUUGUCUAACAGAACCUGUGACUCAGGCUGAAAAGAAAAGAAG